CAGCCGCCGCGGUAAUACGAAGGGGGCUAGCGUUGCUCGGAAUGACUGGGCGUAAAGGGCGCGUAGGCGGAUUGUUUAGUUAGGCGUGAAAUUCCUGGGCUUAACCUGGGGACUGCGCUUAAUACAGGCAGUCUAGAGUGAGGAAGAGGGUUGUGGAAUUCCCAGUGUAGAGGUGAAAUUCGUAGAUAUUGGGAAGAACACCGGUGGCGAAGGCGGCAACCUGGUCCUUGACUGACGCUGAGGCGCGAAAGCGUGGGGAGCAAACAGGAUUAGAUACCCCUGUAGUCCCUGUCUCUUAUAC
rnacentral:rRNA from 1 species